UGUUUCUUUUUCUUUUUUUUGUUCCUCCCCUUUCAAUGUUUCUCCUCCAUCAUUAUCUAAACUUUGUUUAUUUUGAAAUGGGGACUCUGUUUUCUAUUUGGAGUCAUGUCUAGAUGUUGAAUUGCUUAUUCGCUCGAAGUUCUCUUUUCUUUAUGAUUAUAUGCAGAGAAGAUGGAUUCAUAAAGUAAAGUUAUUGAAGAGAAGCAGAGAAAAGAAGGCAAAGUUGCUUUGCCAGAGGAAUCUUCUGAUGUUUCUUAUUCAGGUUCAUCUUUCCCUUGCAUGGAUAAACUAAGGGAAGAGCUCUCUUGCGCGAUUUGUCUUGAGAUUUGCUCCGAACCGAAUACCACUCCUUGUGGCCACAAGCAAAAGAAAACAAAUUCAAACACUUUUGCAAGAAAUGCCUGCGAUCGGCUGGCGAUAAAUGUGGAAAGCGAUGCCCAAAAUGCAGGCAGGCAGCUAAUUAGAUAUGACAGUCAUAAGAAAUUGGAGAUUUGAAGAAUUUUCUUUUAUUAUGAGUUUGUAGGGCUUUAAAAGUAAUCUUCCUUUGAGUUUGCAGCAAUGGGUGAUCUUGCACAAUCAACAUAGUUCUUUGGAACACGAUACAACUACUGUUUCCAAAAGAAGUUGAAGCAAGAAAGGCAUCAGGAAUGCUGAAUAGCCAUGAAGCAAAGCGCCGGAGCCCUGAAGAGGCAAGUUGAAAUAUCCCAAUUCCCAGAAGAAUAGGAACAAUAGUUAGAAGAAGAUGAACGUCUACUCAGGUGGAGGAGGAGGAAGAGGAGGCAUUGGGUUCAAGUUGGAGGAAAAGAAGAGGAGGGAGUAGUCAAGAGCAGAGUGUGAGAAGAGGAAGACGAGUCCCCAAUCAAGAGGAAGAUGCCGCAUUGGCUUUUAGAUUGCAGAGGGAAGAAUUCAUGGGGGCUCUUAGGGGGGGAGCUCAUCAUGUGCAACCAAGGACAAGGAGCUCUUUUUCCUCGGCCAGGGAAGCCUUGAGAGCCAUGGCAUCUAGAGCCACUGACCUUCGCAUGAGA